UGCCAGCAGACAGCUCUGCCUUUUUAGGAUGAGGCAGUGCUCUUGUCAGAGUCUGCACUUUUCUGUGCUGCACAGGAGCCUGGUGAGCAGACAGAUGAGAUGUUAUACCAAUCUGACUCUUAGCUUUUUUGUGCCAAAUUGAUUAUUCUGUUUCAACACAACACGGAUCCCCUUUCCUCAGGGUAUAUGCUGGCAUUUCUUUGAGUCUAAAUAUGUAGUUUUCUAUUUUUCUGAAGACAUAGAUUGUGUUCAUCGCCAUCUGUGGGUGAAAGCUGUAUUCUUCACUUGCUCAGGUCCACAUGACAUCCUGAAGAUUUGGGUAUAGGAAGGAGAAUUUCUGCCUGAGCUUCCCUCCUCAGUGUGUCAGCAGGGGAUUUUUAAUGUGGGAUCUUCCUGAGGUGCUAUUGUAGUGCUAUUAGGCAAUUAUUGUCAGUGCUACCUGGAUCAGUCCAUCUCUGGGGCUUUAGUGAUGCUGCAGAAGUACUUACGUAAGGUAGUGGACAUUGAAAUUUUUGAUUAGCAAAUAUCUGCUUCUUUCUUCCAAUGCAGUCUGUACUGAAUACUUAGACAUAAAGCUGAAAAUGUUGUUUCUCUACAGACAACAACGUAACUCCCGCUUUUGGAAAAAUAAGUCAGACUCCAGACCACACAAAUCCUUUGAAUGUUGUCUGACUACAUCUGCUGGGAUUGGAUCUCCCCAGCAGGAAGCAUGGGCUUUCUUGGCAUCAUGGUACAAGCAGCACUGGGAUCCAUCAGUGGUGAGGUUCCAAAUGUGAGAGUCCACCUGGAUGCUCAGCUAAUCUGUGAGGGACAGGCAGAAGCCAGGACUCAGGAAGGCUCUUUUCUAGUUGUAGCUCAUGAGAAAUGGUCUGCUGAAUGAUUAGUGUGACCAGAUGAAUAAGGAGCUACAAAGGGUGGGAUGGUGAGUGUGGGCUUUGCUUUACACAUUUUCCUCAGUGUGCACAACAUAUUUAAGGGACUGUGGCAAGAACUUCCGAAAGUACAUCUGAAACACUGACAACACAGGCUAUGAAGAUGUGGUUGUACACAGAGUUGUCUUGACCUAGGUCAAGGUAUGUGGAAAAGAUUCCCAGCCUUCCAUUUGAUCAAAUGACAGCCUCCACAUAAGUGUUGUGUUAAGAGGCUGUUUUAUUACAUCUGGACCCAUGAGACUGUGAAAUUAUUACAGCUAGUGGCUUUUCUUGAUUUUGUUUUUAUUCAGACAAGAGUAGUGAGGUCUAGCAGAAACUAAGUUUCUUAUCUCCACACUCACAGGUGUCUAAACAGCCUGUGCUGUCUUUCUUAGUCAAUACACGAUUUCAAACUGACCUUGAGGGUUAAAGAUGACUUUUGGAAUUCCUAGCACAGAAAUCAGAGUUGGCUUCGGCUUCAAGAGUGAAAAAGAUAAGGAUUAAAUUUUAGUAGUCUUGGUUUUUGUUUUUUUCUUUUUUUUUUUUUUUUUUUUUUUUUCCAACUAAUGAGGCCAUAGCUGGUUAAAUAGAGUUUCCAAAUGCUGGAUCACUUCAAACUGUCACUUCUUUAAGUGGGAGUUCCUAAAAAGUAAAAAUUAGAAAGCACCAGAUGUAAGAACUUUAACUGUUGUGUGAAGCUAGUUUUAUAAUGUAAAUGCAGACAAUCUAGAGAAGUGACAGGAUUUGCCUUUAGUAUAGGUCCUUGUUGAAAUAAUUAGCACUAAAGAGAAGAUGCUUUAAAGAGCAGAGUACUGAUUUGCUGUGAAAUAUUCAUUUCUAGUAAGUCAUUUAAAUUAGAAGUGUCAAAAAAGGAAAUUGUUCCAAGGCUUCUCACAAUGUCUGUCGAACACUUGGUUGGGAAAAAAAAAGGGGGGGGGGAGAGGAGAAGAAAAUAUUGUUUUGGUUUUG
rnacentral:lncRNA from 1 species